CAUUGCAGUGUGUUGUUGGAUGCACAUUUGGGACUAUAGGCUGCAGAGGAGAAGACAACACCAAGUGGAAGAAGAUUCUCAAGACGAAGGACCAAGAGGUGAUGGAGGACACUUUGCUGAAGCUACAUGAGGGAUUGCGAGCAUGGUGAUCAAAGCCUACCAAAGUGUUUGGUUUCUUCAGGCGGUGGCCGUGGCACACCCUUACCCUUUUUUCCCUUCAAUUUAGCUCUUUUGUCGUUUGUUGCGUGUAUUCUAGACAACCUUUAUUCCUCAGACUUUCGCAGUUUUGUGUUGUUAUUGUAAGCUAGAAUCCCCAGCAAAAUCUUUGCUUUCAAUAUAAGCAGGGCCAGAGUGUCUUUGGUCUAAAAAAA